AGCUAGUUGGUGAGGUAACGGCCCACCAAGGCGACGACGGGUAGCCGGCCUGAGAGGGUGACCGGCCACACUGGGACUGAGACACGGCCCAGACUCCUACGGGAGGCAGCAGUGGGGAAUAUUGCACAAUGGGCGCAAGCCUGAUGCAGCAACGCCGCGUGAGGGACGACGGCCUUCGGGUUGUAAACCUCUUUUAGUAGGGAAGAAGCGAAAGUGACGGUACCUGCAGAAAAAGCACCGGCUAACUACGUGCCAGCAGCCGCGGUAAUACGUAGGGUGCAAGCGUUAUCCGGAAUUAUUGGGCGUAAAGAGCUCGUAGGCGGUUUGUCGCGUCUGCUGUGAAAACUGGAGGCUCAACCUCCAGCCUGCAGUGGGUACGGGCAGACUAGAGUGCGGUAGGGGAGAUUGGAAUUCCUGGUGUAGCGGUGGAAUGCGCAGAUAUCAGGAGGAACACCGAUGGCGAAGGCAGAUCUCUGGGCCGUAACUGACGCUGAGGAGCGAAAGCAUGGGGAGCGAACAGGAUUAGAUACCCUGGUAGUCCAUGCCGUAAACGUUGGGAACUAGAUGUAGGGACCAUUCCACGGUUUCUGUGUCGCAGCUAACGCAUUAAGUUCCCCGCCUGGGGAGUACGGCCGCAAGGCUAAAACUCAAAGGAAUUGACGGGGGCCCGCACAAGCGGCGGAGCAUGCGGAUUAAUUCGAUGCAACGCGAAGAACCUUACCAAGGCUUGACAUAUACCGGAAAAGUUCAGAAAUGUUCUCCCCGCAAGGUCGGUAUACAGGUGGUGCAUGGUUGUCGUCAGCUCGUGUCGUGAGAUGUUGGGUUAAGUCCCGCAACGAGCGCAACCCUCGUUCUAUGUUGCCAGCACGUAAUGGUGGGAACUCAUAGGAGACUGCCGGGGUCAACUCGGAGGAAGGUGGGGAUGACGUCAAAUCAUCAUGCCCCUUAUGUCUUGGGCUUCACGCAUGCUACAAUGGCCGAUACAAAGGGCUGCAAUACCGCAAGGUGGAGCGAAUCCCAAAAAGUCGGUCUCAGUUCGGAUUGAGGUCUGCAACUCGACCUCAUGAAGUCGGAGUCGCUAGUAAUCGCAGAUCAGCAACGCUGCGGUGAAUACGUUCCCGGGCCUUGUACACACCGCCCGUCAAGUCAUGAAAGUCGGUAACACCCGAAGCCAGUGGCCCAACCGCAAGGAGGGAGCUGUCGAAGGUGGGAUCGGUGAUUAGGACUAAGUCGUAACAAGGUAACCGUACUAGU
rnacentral:rRNA from 1 species